GUGGGGUCUCCAGUACCUCCUCACGCCAGCACAUUCUUGCCCAAGACAUCUACCUGGUAAGGACUCUGAAUGUGGAACAACUUGAUGUCUACACUACAAAAUGCAAAUAAAGAAAAACAGGAAAUAGAAACUCAUCUUAUAGAAAACUAUAGACUCUACCACUAGCUGUGUUAGGACUUUUACACAGUUGACAUCUGCCUUUAUAGCUCUAUGCAAAUUCUAAGCAAAGACCAACAAUUUUGAAAUAGCAAUGGUUUAUUUUUUGGGUUUUUUUUUGUUUUGUUUUUGUUUUUGUUUUUUUUGAGACAGGGUAUCUCCAUUAUGUAGCUCUGUCUGUCCUGGGAUUCACUCUGUAGACUGCGGUGGACUGGAACUCAGAGAGAUCCACCUACUUGCCUCUGCCUUCGCGUGCUGGGAUUAAAGGAGUUGCUCCACCAUGGCUGGCUGGUUUUGGUUUUGAUUUUAUUUUUGUUUUGCUAUAGUAUGCAAACUGUGGUCAGAUGAGCAGCAGAAAUGCUGGACUUUUCCUUUUUCAGGUGUUCCUUACCCCCUAUUUACUGAGGCCUGAGGGUCACCAACGAAGACAGUACUAACUCUUUGUAAAUCAUUGUAACAUAUGGAGCCCAGAUGUCCAUUUCCUCAAAUGUGACUAUUGCAGUUAACUGAGUCUUCUACCACCAGUCUCUGGAGCUAAAGCAAAACCAACCCUGCCCCUCAAACUUCUUACUGUCAGUUUUCAAUAGACUAGGAAAGACGUGGGUUACAAAACACUUAAGAGUUGGGCUGUAAACUGGAUAGUGGUGGUGUAUGCCUUUAAUCUCAAUACUCAGGGGGCAGAGGUGGGGCAGAUCCAGUUCUAUACAGAGAAAUCCUGCC
rnacentral:lncRNA from 1 species